UACGUAGGGGGGCAAGCGUUGUCCGGAAUCAUUGGGCGUAAAGCGCGUGUAGGCGGUUACGUAAGUCUGCUGUGAAAGUCGGAGGCUCAACCUUCGAAAGCCGGUGGAUACUGCGUGACUAGAGUACGGAAGAGGAGAGUGGAAUUCCUGGUGUAGCGGUGAAAUGCGCAGAUAUCAGGAGGAACACCAACGGCGAAGGCAGCUCUCUGGGACGUUACUGACGCUGAGACGUGAAAGCGUGGGGAGCAAACAGG
rnacentral:rRNA from 1 species